UAGCGUAGGUGGUUGGUUAAGUUUGAGGUGAAAGCUCGAGCUCAACUCGGAAAAUGCCUUGAAGACUAUCUGACUAGAGGAUUGGAGGGGAGAUUGGAAUUCUCGGUGUAGCAGUGAAAUGCGUAGAUAUCGAGAGGAACACCAGUGGCGAAGGCGAAUCUCUGGACAAUUCCUGACACUGAGGCACGAAAGCCAAGGGAGCAAACG
rnacentral:rRNA from 1 species